CCGGGGCGCGCCCCGGGCGGGGCGGGGGCACGGGGGGAACGCGAAGAACCUUACCAGCUCUUGACAUUCGGGGUAUGGGCAUUGGAGACGAUGUCCUUUGGUUAGGCUGGCCCCAGAACAGGUGCUGCAUGGCUGUCGUCAGCUCGUGUCGUGAGAUGUUGGGUUAAGUCCCGCAACGAGCGCAACCCUCGCCCUUAGUUGCCAGCAUUUAGUUGGGCACUCUAAGGGGACUGCCGGUGAGGAGCCGAGAGGAAGGUGGGGAUGACGUCAAGUCCUCAUGGCCCUUACGGGCUGGGCUACACACGUGCUACAAUGUUUGGUGACAGUGGGCAGCGAGACAGCGAUGUCGAGCUAAUCUCAAUACCCCUCAGUUCGGAUUGCACUCUGCAAUCUCCACUGACAUGAAGUGGAAUUGCUAGAAUCC
rnacentral:rRNA from 1 species